CAGCGUAAAAUUAACAGAUGUAUUUUAUUUUUUGUAUGCUUUUUUUCACCUGGAAAAAAACUGUAAAUGGUACAAUAAAUGGUGUCAUGGAAAAACUCAUCCAGCAAAAACACAUUGAUGGAAAAAUGAAAAGUGAAUUUUUUUGGGAUAAACUGUUGCCAAAUAGUGUUGUGGUAGAGUUCAAAUUUGCUAAUUUUUGGUGCACUUUGGUUUUCUCUAUAAACGGCAGCAUAAUCUUGGUGAAUCAUAUCUUAAAAGGGCUGACCCACCUCGGCAAAUAGCUUCUUCCUGCUCCUCCGGCCUUUUUACAACAACUAGAAGUGGUCGCAAAAUCUGAAAGCAGCCAAAGCAAGCAGGUUUACGUAACUCCCAUCAACUUUUAUGGACGUAAGGCAAACGGUGAGGCCCCACCGAAAAAUCUUUGAGGUUAAAGAGACCUAUCUGUGAUCAUUGAGUGGUGUUUAUCAAGGAAAUUCUGGUAAAUUAUAUAAAAAAAAGUCACAUAAUUUUUGUGCAACGAAGGUCCUUAUGCACAAAUGAUGUAACUUUUUGAUUAUCUCUGUAGGACUGCACAAAAUUUCACAGUUUACGCUUUAUGCCAGCAAGUGUAAACUGGGCUUGAAAUCUUUGCCAGGUCAGAGUGAAGAGUGCAGACAGCCCUGAUGCGCAGAGGUGUAUGUAGAGGUGCACACCACUACAUAGAUCCCGGGGGCCUAUGUGCUGAUGGGGCAUUUAUUUAGCCCGUCAGCGGAGAUGACGAUCUUGAUAAAUGGACUCAUAGUCUUAGUCUAGUUUGAAGGGUGUAUCUGGCCUAGAUGUCAGAUAGGAGGUGGUCCGUCACCUGACAACUCACUGAUCAGCUGUCUGAUGAAUGCUUGUGUGAGUUCCGCAGCCUCCCCUGCCUGUUUGGAAAUUGCAGUACUUUUAUUAGCAGCAGUGCAUGGAACUGCAGCAUUUUCCCGAUCACCUAACGUGUCCAUCAUUUCUAAAACCUUUUGACACGUCAUUGUCAAAAGCUUUGAUUGGUUGGGGUCUCAGUGAUGAACCCCACUGAUCAGAAAAUAAGCAUACUUCACUCCUUGGCUCACAACGAGUGCUGCAAGCCGGAGAGUGAAGCACCCUACUGAGCUAUUACUCGUUCUCCUGAAAAGUAGAGGUCACAUCACUCACACCUUGCAUCACCGCUAUAUAUAGUACAGUGAUUGCUGGACAAGCACUGCGGCCUCCGCUGAAUGGUGAGUGGCCAGGUGUCCAAUCACCUCUGACCUGAUAAUGAUUACCGGUUCUUAUGGGUCAUCUCAUUUAUUAUCAGAUCCCAUACAUAGUGAGAAGCAUUCCCACAACCCUAGGCAGCUGGUAGUCUGGCAGGGAAAGGGUGAAGCGCGCGGAGCAGCCACACCUAGUAACCCCAGGCGCUGUACCAAGGAUCCAUCAGCCAGGCUCACCUCACUCACUGCAUCACUGCAUUCAAGCCUCAUGUUACUCAGGCAACCAGGAGGGCAGAGGCUGUCAGGUCCCUGGUUACCAUGAGGAAUGCCUAGCACAGGAAGGCAGGGCAGCCUGCAGGAGGGGCACAUUCCACCCUGACCCACUUUCCCUCCCUUCACCUCCAAGGAGACAGGCAAAGCACCACUUCUCAUUCCUCCACACCCCACAGGAAGGGGAGGGAGUGAGGAGAUAGCUCAGCGCAACCAAGCAUGUGUCCUGUGUGAGGGGCACCGCAAUGUGACCCCCGCUAACCAAUCCUAGCGCCCCGCACUGCGUGCAGUUUACACUACGACACCUAUUAUUAGCGGGGCCAGGGCGCAUGCGCCGGGCGGCAUCCCCGGGCUCCGAGUCCUCGUGCAGUGAGCCGGGUACCAGGCCGCAGAAUGUGGUGGAGCCGAGGACAGCUCCCUCCCCCUCCUCACAGUCACAUGAGCUGAACACCUGUUUGCCCUGAGAAGAGGGGGAACACUAACGUCAUUGGGAAUAUUGUGAAAAUUGAUGGCAAUAUGAAUGCAGCAUCAUCUCUCUCCAAUGAAAGUUGCACUUUGGAUGCUUCUGGACUUUCCAGCACAACGAUGACUGUAAGCACAAGGCUAAGUUGACCCUUCAAUGGUUACAGCAGAAAAAGGUCAGUAAUUGAAAUAAAUGCUUAGUUCUUGUGAGGGAAAGGAAGAACAGGAGAAAAGUGGUCUCUGGCAGACAUGUAAAGCAUGGAAAAUUCAUUGAGAGGAUAGCUGGGAAAAGGAGAGAUGGCAAGGAGUUCAAUAGAGAUUUCCUUCAGGACCUAGUCUAGAUACAGAUUUAUCCAGACUACCUCUUAUCCUGGAAAGAGAUGUUGAGAAUUUGCUUAUUGUAACAAAAAUACACUAGAGACUAAAAUAGACUUGUAAACAGUGUGACAACUAGUCCACAUUGCCAAAUACUGUAAAUGUAAAAUCCAGACUCCCUGGGGACUGGUUAGACCAGCAUGAGAUAAUUCUUUGUAAAAGACCUAUAAAACAAAGUGGCUCC